GGGGCUAUAGCUCAGUGGCAGAGCAUCUGCUUAGCAUGCAGAAGGUUCCAGGUUCAAUCCCUGGCAUCUCCA